rnacentral:snRNA from 1 species
ACUACAGUGCAGUGGCAGUAUCGUAGUCAAUGAGGUUAAUCCGAGGCACGAUUAUUGCUAAUUGUAAACUCCUGAAUAAUACAG